CUCUCCUCCGCGCCGCCGUCUUCGUUGCUCUUGGGUGGCCGCGGCGCCCGCUCCCUCUGAAUUCGCCGGGCAGGGAUACAGCCGCCCGGGGCCUCUUGCUCGUGCUUGGUUUUCCGGACCUUGCUUCCUAAAGGGUCUUUAGGGGUUCCCGGACUCCUCCGCCUGGGAGCCUCUAUCCGCCUGGGAGCCUCUAUGCGCCCCGCAAAGCCCCCGGCAGAGCCGAGGGGAGGCUUCAUUGGCGACCUGGUGGGGCCUCGCGGCCCUGCUCCCUGACGUCAGCGCCGCCGCGGUGAUUUAACAGCUUUUGUUUUGGGCAGAAGAACCUAUGGGCACAAAAAGCAGGAACGAGUAGCGGUGGCUGAAGAACGAGCAGGAGCUUGAAUUUCAGUUUUCUUAUGAGGAAUUUUCCAGAAAAGAUAUCUUCACUGUGAAAUAACUAAAUAAAUGCCCACUCAGUACAGUCACUGUCUCCCUUUUGGAACUUGAUGGCACCUUAAGCCCAGGUUUGCCUCCACUCUAGAAACUCAUCAGAGUGAUGCCCUUCUCAAAUGGGGGAGGUCCCAAAGCGGAUAUCCUGGCAGUGUGAAAGGCCGGCUAAAGACAAAAAUACCUGCUACAUGCUUCCUUCUGUAUGAAUACAUGAGACCUACCUUCAUUCAUGUUUCCUCUAUGAAGCUUUCCCUGCACUCCAAACACAGAGCUGAGACUUCCACCUAAUGUAGAAAGCUAGCACGAGCCGGCGCUGACAGAUGGAAGACUUGAGAUGUUACAAGAUUAUAUAUGGAAACACAAAAGGAGUGGAGUUGCUGGGUCAUAUGGCAAUUCAUUUGAGGAACUGAGAAGCUUAUUCCAUGGAGGCUGAACUGUUUUAUAUUCCCACCAGCAACGUAUUCUGUAUCCUCCAUAGUCCUAUUCAUGACAUGGGUCGUUCAUCUCUGUAUUCUAAACCCUCAAUGAACUGUAGACAGUAAUAAAUAUUUAUUGGAUGAAUGGUC
rnacentral:lncRNA from 1 species